CCUGAGAUCAUGACCUAAGCCAAAGGCAGACACUUAACAACUGAGCCACCCACAAUCAUAUUUUAAUAUAACUAAAUCACACCCCAGUAUUUUUUGAUUCAGUGGUUUUUAGCAUAUUCACAAAGUUGUGCGACUGCUACCACAAUCUGAUUUCAGAACUUUUUCAUCACCCCAGGUAGAAACCAUACACCCAUCAGCAGUAACUCCUUAUUUCCCCUACUCUUUUGCCAGCCCUAGUUAACUACUCAUCUACUCUCCGUCUCUGUAGAUGUCAUUCCUACUGUUUGCAGAGAGGCCAGGUACAGAUGGGGAGAAAAGUGGCCCCUGGUUCAGAAGUGAGCUCCUGCUUCUGUUCUCUGAUUCUCCACCAUCCCCACAACUUGAAGUUAAAUUUCUUGCUCCUUUGAAGAUGUUCUUCCAAAGAUUUCCACCUGAUCUCCAAAAGAUAAUCUUAUAUAAUAUAUGUAAAUAUAAAUGUAUUCCUAAAUUUAAUCUUACUUCAUAACUUUAAUCUUUUUUCCUAUGAAUGAGUCAUCUAGUGCACACACAUGCACACACUCCCCCUGGCCCUGACAUUUCACAGCCUUCUUGUCUGACCAGGCAGUGAAGGACAUUGUGCCUCCAACACUGUGCCCUAAUUCUUUGAAGAACACCUAGGUUCUUCAUAGCAGGCUGCCAUACCUCAUUCUGGCUGAUUUCUGGUGAGAUGAUUUCAAAAUUACUAGGUAACAGUAAAGAGUGGGAGCCAGUCUAAUGAACCAUGGGGAAUGACUUGGGGAAAGCACCCCUCUCUGUCAUGUGUACAACCAGAAUCCACCUGGGAGAGACAAAGAGGAGUGGCAGGUUGGAGUAUGAAGGCUCCUUAGCCCUUGCCUUUUCCAGCUAGAGUAUCUUAGCCCUUGCCUUCCCACCCCUUGGGAGUGGUCCUUUGUGAUGUCUAAGCUCCCUGGGGCCACCAUUGGCUGUGGUGAGCGCCCUGCUGACCAAACAAAGCUGAGAGGGCGUGAACCCUCAGUGUCUCUGGAGAGGUAUAUAUACAGAGGACAGGACUCCUGGAGUAGACACCAGAGAAGCUGCAACAUGGCAAAAGUGGUAGAGAAAUCAUGGGAGUCACAAACCACAAACACCAAGCGGUGGAGGAAGAGGAAGAACCAGUCUCGGUCCAGAUCAAGAGGCGCUAGCAAGGUGCUAAAGAUCUACAAGAAGGUAAAAAGAUCAUUUCACAUGAGUUCAAGAAAAAAAUACUCUCCUAAAGUUAUAACCACUUCCAGAAGAAAGAAGAGGGCAAGAAGGGCCCACAAGUUUCAGCCGUUGCCGUAGGCUGAGAGCCAAAAGCAGCCAGGCCAGACCCAGCAGACGCUAUUGAGCAACGCCACUCCAAGACGACCAUGCAAACAACCCCUACAGAGCAAGCUUCUGAGACCUCAGACAGUCUGCAUCUAGGAUCCUGGCUGUGGGGAAAUGGCCAACUGCAGAGAGACCUACUCGGAUCCUAAUGUGGAACACAGAACACAAAUGGAGGUGAUCAAAAUAAAAUCAACAGGGUGGGAGAAGCUCCUCCAAAAAAUAAAAUUAGGCACUCUGCACAGCAA